rnacentral:lncRNA from 1 species
UUAUUUCCCUCACAAACUCCUUGCGGCUGCAGCAGCUUCCAGAGCGCACGAACUUGCAGUCUUCAGCCACAAUCUGCAAGGAGAAAGAUUUUAGCAGGACAUAAUUUAAUUUUAACUCAGAUUUUCUUUCAGUGCGCGUACUCAAAGCAUGCUUGUAAUGUAACAUCUUUGGGUCAUAAAAAGGAAGAAUCUACUGUCGUGCUCCAUAGCAGCACCUCGACGGACGGCGGUGAAGAUCCACUGCAGCGCCUGUUGCCGGAUAUGCUCUCUGGACCACCUCCUUCCUCUCUCACUCUCUCUCUCUCUCUCUCUCACUCACUCUCUGAACACACACACACAGACGAACAAGGACGGGGAAGAGAUUUUGUGCAGUGCAAGUUCUGCUGCUUUUCUAUUUCUUUUAUCCUUUUAUUCAGUGAUCUAAAGACUUGCCACAAUGCUAGCAACAACCCCAUCAUGCCCGAGCCAUCCCAUGGGCGAAGUCGUGCAGCUGGCCUACUACCUAUUCGCCCAGAACACACCACAAUCGUGCCCUCGUGUGCUAACAAAAAAUUGAACUAAAAGUCUGAAUGUUUCUGAAACUACUGAAACUUCUGAAGAAAACUAACACCUACAGAAUGGCUGCCAUGGAGUGUUAUUGUGCACAACUGAAAUAC